rnacentral:rRNA from 1 species
UACGUAGGGUGCAAGCGUUGUCCGGAAUUAUUGGGCGUAAAGAGCUCGUAGGCGGUUUGUCGCGUCGAAUGUGAAAACCCGGGGCUCAACCCCGGGCCUGCAUUCGAUACGGGCAGACUAGAGUUCGGUAGGGGAGUCUGGAAUUCCUGGUGUAGCGGUGAAAUGCGCAGAUAUCAGGAGGAACAUCGGUGGCGAAGGCGGGUCUCUGGGCCGAUACUGACGCUGAGGAGCGAAAAGCGUGGGGGAGCGAACAGG